AGAGUUUGAUCCUGGCUCAGGACGAACGCUGGCGGCGCGCCUAACACAUGCAAGUCGAACGGAGCUGAGAGGAGCUUGCUUUUCUCAGCUUAGUGGCGAACGGGUGAGUAACGCGUGAGUAACCUGCCCUGGAGUGGGGGACAACAGUUGGAAACGACUGCUAAUACCGCAUAAGCCCACGGCCCGGCAUCGGGCUGAGGGAAAAGGAUUUAUUCGCUUCAGGAUGGACUCGCGUCCAAUUAGCUAGUUGGUGAGGUAACGGCCCACCAAGGCGACGAUUGGUAGCCGGACUGAGAGGUUGAACGGCCACAUUGGGACUGAGACACGGCCCAGACUCCUACGGGAGGCAGCAGUGGGGGAUAUUGCACAAUGGGGGAAACCCUGAUGCAGCGACGCCGCGUGGAGGAAGAAGGUCUUCGGAUUGUAAACUCCUGUUGUUGAGGAAGAUAAUGACGGUACUCAACAAGGAAGUGACGGCUAACUACGUGCCAGCAGCCGCGGUAAAACGUAGGUCACAAGCGUUGUCCGGAAUUACUGGGUGUAAAGGGAGCGCAGGCGGGAAGACAAGUUGGAAGUGAAAUCCAUGGGCUCAACCCAUGAACUGCUUUCAAAACUGUUUUUCUUGAGUAGUGCAGAGGUAGGCGGAAUUCCCGGUGUAGCGGUGGAAUGCGUAGAUAUCGGGAGGAACACCAGUGGCGAAGGCGGCCUACUGGGCACCAACUGACGCUGAGGCUCGAAAGUGUGGGUAGCAAACAGGAUUAGAUACCCUGGUAGUCCACACCGUAAACGAUGAUUACUAGGUGUUGGAGGAUUGACCCCUUCAGUGCCGCAGUUAACACAAUAAGUAAUCCACCUGGGGAGUACGACCGCAAGGUUGAAACUCAAAGGAAUUGACGGGGGCCCGCACAAGCAGUGGAGUAUGU
rnacentral:rRNA from 1 species